CUGAUAUCCUGAUGAUUCAACAAUCAAUGCAUAGUUCAUCUGAGGCUGUGGCCUAUGAAUGAAACAAAUUUAGCAAUGUCUUUCGCUCCUAUCUGAAAUAUUUC
rnacentral:snoRNA from 1 species